rnacentral:rRNA from 1 species
GUCUACCAUCCUCCCUGGUCCCGCCAGCGCGCCGCCGCCCAGGCGCCACGGCCGGUGCCGCGCAGUCCACCCCUCAAGGCGUGCCCUCCACACCGCCACACACUGCGGCGUCCAGGCAGAUGUAUGCCGCCGUUGAUCCCCUUUUGGAUCUCGCCCGUGGCGCACCUUCUCCCCUCAACUUCGCCAAGAUCCGGCGAUCUACCCUCGAUCUGGUCUCCCGUCCACAACACCACCGCCGUGCCACGUCGCCACCUCGACUAAGCCAUGGUCAACGCGUCAAGAUCGGUCCGGCGAGCCAUCGCUGCACCGGGACGGGAUCCCCAUCCUCUCUUCUCUCUUCUCCGUUGACGGCAAGCGGGUGAGUACCCCUUUGCCCCCACCAUCAAUCCUCAUCUACCGGCGAGCACAGCUGGUAGCCGCCACCACAGAUCCAACCCCCGUUGUCCCCCUCCAUCUGCUUCCUUCCCCGACUGUGAGCUCACUCUUUGGCAGAAGAAAAAUCGCCCACCAUCUGCUCCUCGCUGCUCUCCUCUGCAUGGCUCAACGGUUGGCGGAAGCUCCGAUCCAUCUCAGGCAUCGACGUUCACCUGCAAUUUACUGUUUUGUGUUUUUCUGAAGAUAAAAAUUCAAAGUGCAGAUGUAGUCUGCUAAUGUUUGCUCUUGAGGUUCAGUUUAUUUAUUUUUGCAGGAAGAUGGUGCAGUUUGGUUGGAUGUCGUGUUGCAUUAUUUUUGCAUUUCCCUCGUCAUGCAGUUUGGACAGCGAGCCUUCCUCCAUGGUGCGUGCGUGUGUGCAAUCUGCGAUGUGUGUGUGUGCAGUGCAGCCUAUAUAAACCGUGGCCGUGCAGCUCAAACAAGCCCGCAAUGAAGUUCCGUGCUUGUGCCCGUGCUGUUCGAUGAACACAAGUUUUUUUCCGUGCUUGUGUCCGUGCUGUUCGAUGAACACAAGUGCACUACAGCUCCUGGAUGGUGGACUGCCGAAGGUGCGGUGCAGUUGACGGACUGUUGAAGUUUGCCUGAGUCUUCGUUGCAGUACGGCUAGGUGUCGAAAGUUGUUCUUUUGUUGAUUUUUCAGGUUUCCAGAGACUGCAAAUCAUUAUAAGUAAACAUCUGUGGUUCGCUCUGAAAAAAUUACGCGGGACCCCUUCUUUGUAAAAAGCAAUUUGUAUGGUACCCCAUUUACUUCGCUAAUUUGUCUGAUGCGGUUCGGA